UGUGAUGACUUGACGGGCGGCAGCAGGCUGGCUAGCGACCUGACCCUGGACACAGAUUUGCUGCGCUUGGUGCUGGGCUCCUGAAGGAGGAAGAGGAAAACGGAGAUGAAUCGAGAUCAGAAACAUCCAGACUGUAUCUGCUGUACCAGCAUCCAGAGAGGACUCUUCAUGGAUACCAUUGUGGUCCACUUACUC